rnacentral:siRNA from 1 species
UUAUUAAAGCUAUACAACAGG